UGGCUCAGAUGGUAAAGAAUCUGCCUGCAAAGCAGAAGACCCAGGUUUGAUCCCUGG
rnacentral:tRNA from 1 species